rnacentral:rRNA from 1 species
AGCAGCCGCGGUAAUUCCAGCUCCAAUAGCGUAUAUUAAAGUUGUUGCAGUUAAAAAGCUCGUAGUUGAAUUUCGGGAUCAACAUGUCGGUCGUGCCUCCGGUACGUACUGGCAUCGUUGAUUUCUACCUUCUGACGAACCAUGAUGUCAUUAAUUUGGUGUCAUGGGGAAUCAGGACUGUUACUUUGAAAAAAUUAGAGUGUUUAAAGCAGGCACACGCUUGAAUACAUUAGCAUGGAAUAAUGAAAUAGGACGUUUGACCCUAUUUUGUUGGUUUCUAGGAUCGACGUAAUGAUUAAUAGGGAUAGUUGGGGGCAUUAGUAUUCAAUUGUCAGAGGUGAAAUUCUUGGAUUUAUUGAAGACUAACUACUGCGAAAGCAUUUGCCAAGGAUGUUUUCAUUAAUCAAGAACGAAAGUUAGGGGAUCGAAGACGAUCAGAUGCCGUCGUAGUCUUAACCAUAAACUAUGCCGACUAGGGAUCGGAUGAUGUUAAUUUUUUAAUGACUCAUUC